rnacentral:rRNA from 1 species
UACGGAGGAUGCGAGCGUUAUCCGAAUUUAUUGGGUUUAAAGGGUGCGUAGGCGGACUGUCAAGUCAGCGGUAAAAUUGAGAGGCUCAACCUCUUCCCGCCGUUGAAACUGGUGGUCUUGAGUGGAUGAGAAGUACGCGGAAUGCGUGGUGUAGCGGUGAAAUGCAUAGAUAUCACGCAGAACUCCGAUUGCGAAGGCAGCGUACCGGCAUCCAACUGACGCUGAGGCACGAAAGCGUGGGGAUCAAACAGG